CUCCCCGACUGGCUCCUCUUCAUUAUAUCACCGCCUCACUCCCUCGCAGCCAAGCCCACCCUCACCCUCACCCUCGCCCCCUAUCGCUACCGCUCCAUCUCAACUCUUCUAAUCGGGCUUGUUCCUUUGUUUCUAGAUAUAGAGAAAGAUCUCAGAGAGUUGGAAGGGGAAAGACGGCGAGAUGCCCAGAAAGAAAAAUAUUUCAUUUUCCGAUGCAUAUUUGAAAGAAUGGCUUCAAGUCCCGUGGUUCAACAUCAUAAUAGAGGAGAUUUGCGGUUGAGGGAGUCGUUGCUGGGGGAAUAAAGUAAAAGAACAUGGCGGCAGAGGGAAGGAACCGCCUUGUACUUGGGGAUAUUGGCAAUAUGGUUACCCUUCGAGGGGCUGAAGGCAAGCAGCAGCUUCCUCAGGGGUCUUGCCCCUCACAAGGGGUUUUUGUGCACAACUACUGGCUAAUGCACAAGCUGCAGCAGCUGACAAGAACAGGAAAUGUAUUGGCGCUGUUAAUGUGGAUGGAGUUGCUGCUGCAAAUGGAGGUGCCUAGAAAGCCUCCUCCUCAGAAGAGAGCUACUGUGAAGCCAAUCAAGCCUGAAGCUGUGAAGCCAAUUGACACUAAAGAAGAGGUGAAGGAAAAGAACAGCCUCCACAGAAAGGCAGCAGCUGAAGAUUCAUUCUCUGUUGACCUCAUCUCUGGGAAUGAAUGGAAGUCUUUUGUUUCUGUUGAUUGAAUAAUUGGAGUUUUCAAAGUCUUUUCUUUCUGUUGAUUGAAUAAUUGGUUUGGACUUUUAUUGUUUUGGCAUAGGCUGCUUGUGGACUGAACAUUAAAUUACCAAUGGAGAAGAUUGACGGUAUUGAUGCUGGAGAUGUGUACAAUGAGUUGGCAGUUUUGGAGUAUGCAGAAGACAUUUAGAAGUUCUACAAUGAAGCUGAGAAUUUCAGGAUAUGAUGUUGUGUGGUGGAUCUGAUUCAGUAAUUAUACCAACUGGAGUGGGUGGAUUUAUUGCUUCCAGGGCACUUUCUCAGAGAAACAAUGAUCCUACUAGAGCUUCACGACCUUGGGAUAGUGACCGCGAUGGGUUUGUCAUGGGUGAAGGAGCUGGAGUUCUGCUUCUGGAAGAACUUGAGCAUGCGAAGAAAAGAGGUGCAACAAUCUAUGCUGAAUUUCUCAGUGGAAGAACCCCACCCUGAAGGAUUACAUUGGUUUUAAGUCAACCUUGGGCUUUUGUGCCAUGGAUGGAAAAGCUUAGCAUAGAGGAACAGCAAAGCUUUUUUUAUGGCAGGAAGGACAUCGUGCCGAGAUCUCUUUUAUGCUCCCUGGGUUCAUGAUCUCUUUAUGGAAAGAGUACAGGGUAAUGGGCAAUGCUCUUUAUUUUGUCCAAAUGAGGCACCAGGAUUGGCAGAUUGCUGCGGUGAAGAAUUUGAGGAACUUUAUACAGAAUAUGAAAGAAAGGGCAAGGCAAAGAAAGUUGUACAUUCACAAAAUCUCUGGUUUGAAAUCUUGAAGUCUCAGAUAGAAACUGGUACUCCCUACAUGCUAUAUAAGGCUGCUUGUGGUCUGAACAUUAUAUACCAAAGGAGAAGAUUGAAGAUAUUGAUGCUGGAGAUGUAUACAAUGAGUUGGCAGUUGUGGAGUAUGCAGAAGACAUUUACAAGUUCACAAGGAAGUUGAGGGCUGUGAACUUAGGUUUUAAGAUUUCUUAUUGGAAACCAGGCCCGGUUUUACAUUAUUCGCAGUGAAAUUAACGUAUUCAAAAUUGCUUUUGCUAUAUCAAGGAUUACGUUGUUUUAAAUCAACCUUGGGCUUUUGUGCAAUGGAUGGAAAAGCUUAGCAUAGAGGAAGGGUAAAGCUUUUUUUCGGCAGCCCAACAGGAACUGUGGUCUGCAAUCUGGCUUCAAUUGCUUUGCCACCUUUUGUCAGGGAAAAGGGGGUUCCAAUUAAACCACAACCAUCUAAGCUUUUUGGAAGCAGAGGCUCUAUAAAUCGAUACUUUGAUUUUGAUAAACUGGCAGAGGUUACUGCAAUAGUUACAACAAACCUGAACAAAAUUAUUGAUGUUAAUUUUUAUCCCGUCAAAACUGCAAAGAACUCUAAUUUACAUCACAGGUCCAUUGGGAUUGGUGUCCAAGGCUGACAUUAUCACAAGAGGCUCAGGAUCUAAACAAAGAAAUAUUUGAAACAAUAUACUACCAUGCUCUGAAAGCUUCUUCUGAUUUGGCUGCAAAGGAAGGCCCUCUAUGACACCUAUGACGGUAGUGCCAUAAGCAAGGGUACCCUCCAGCCAGAUAUGUGGGGAGUCACCCCCUCAAAUCAAUGGGAUUGGGUUGCUCUUCGAGCAAUGAUAGAUAAGAAUGAAGUAAGGAAUUCCCUUCUUGUAGCACCAAUGCCCACUGCUUCAACAAGCCAAAUUCUUGGAAAUAAUGAAUGCUUUGAGCCAUACACUUCCAACAUUUAUAGCCGCAGAGUUGUAAGGUUUCUUUGCCCAUAAGAUUCUGUUAGUUCACAUUUUAGUUUGCUACCUAUCCAAUUCUAACUACUGUUGUAUUUUGACAGCAGUGAUCAUAUAUCUGAUUUCGAGGAUUUUAUUACUACAAUGAUUCUUUAAUCUGGGUUGAUAAAGGUUAUUUGGGUGUCUUGAUUAAAGGUUUCACCUAAUCCAGGGCUGGGGAGAGUUGUGUUCUUGACUGCUCAUGAACUGUUUGAUUUAUUUCAUACUGGUCUCUUGAUUGGGUUUUUUUCAAUCUUUAUUUUCAUGAGUUAUGUUAGAGAGAUUAGUGGGGAGUUGAGAGAUACUCUCCUAGCCUAGGGUUUUGAAUAAGUGGUUGUCAUUACUUCUUACCUUGUAUAAAUAGCUAGGUUGUACAGCUCCUAAAGAUGAAUAUAUACAAACAUACGUACGAUAAACUGCUUUCUCUUAAACUAAACAAACAUGGUAUCAGAGCCUCGAAAGUGAGGCAGUGGGUGGUGGUCGGAACUGGGAGACGACGCCGGAGCUCGGAGUUCGUCGUCGCUGGGAUCCUCACGCGCCUCCACGCGCCGCCGUCGCAACCUUCACACGCCUGCCGUGCGGCGUUUUCCGGCGUCUUCUCCGGUCGCGAUUGGUAUGGCCGAGCUCGUCUUCCCGUGCUGAGUUUUCCCAGGAGAUCGUCGCCGCCGGAGUCCCAGCCCUAUCGUAUCGGAAAACGCGCAUAAUCCGCCCUCGAUGCGGCUGAUAUUUUUGCCCGUUGCGACGACCCUCUCCCGCUAGCUGAUCAUGUGCUAACGAACUUUGAAGAUUUUGAUGAAAACCCCAAAACCAAGCUCGUUUCAUCAUCGAAAGAGUCGGAGAAGAAGACCAGAGAAAAUUGGUUCGCUGGAGAAGAAUAUAAAGAUGUGAAAUGAUUAAAAUGCCCUCAUUAUUUUAAAUUCCGGCGACAUUUGGCCGGAGUGACCAAAAUUGAUACAAAUUUCAAAGUCGUGGUAUGCAAUUAACACUUUUGAAA